GACAGAGGUGGCUAGCGUUGUUCGGAUUCAUUGGGUGUAAAGGGUGCGUAGGCGGUUUAGAAAGUCGGAUGUGAAAGCCCACAGCUCAACUGUGGAAAUGCAUCUGAAACUUCUAGACUAGAGUGUGAGAGAGGUGAAGGGAAUUCCCGGUGUAAGGGUGAAAUCUGCAGAGAUCGGGAGGAACACCAGUAGCGAAGGCGCUUCACUGGCUCGCAACUGACGCUGAGUGCACGAAGGCGUGGGGAGCAAACGGG
rnacentral:rRNA from 1 species